GACGUAGGGCGCGAGCGUUGUCCGGAUUUAUUGGGCGUAAAGAGCUCGUAGGCGGCUUGUCGCGUCGGCUGUGAAAACCCGGGGCUCAACCCCGGGCCUGCAGUCGAUACGGGCAGGCUAGAGUCCGGAAGAGGAGAGUGGAAUUCCCGGUGUAGCGGUGAAAUGCGCAGAUAUCGGGAAGAACACCCGUGGCUAAGGCGGCUCUCUAGUACGGUACUGACGCUGAGACGCGAAAGCGUGGGGAGCGAACAGG
rnacentral:rRNA from 1 species